AAAUUUAGGUUAAUAAAACCAAGAGCCUUCAAAGCCCUAAAUAGCACACAGCCUAAUUUCUG
rnacentral:tRNA from 1 species